GACGAACGCUGGCGGCGUGCUUAACACAUGCAAGUCGAACGGUAAGGCCCUUCGGGGUACACGAGUGGCGAACGGGUGAGUAACACGUGGGUGAUCUGCCCUGCACUUCGGGAUAAGCCUGGGAAACUGGGUCUAAUACCGGAUAGGACCACUGCCUGCAUGGGUGGUGGGGGAAAGCUUGUGCGGUGUGGGAUGGGCCCGCGGCCUAUCAGCUUGUUGGUGGGGUGAUGGCCGACCAAGGCGACGACGGGUAGCCGGCCUGAGAGGGUGACCGGCCACACUGGGACUGAGAUACGGCCCAGACUCCUACGGGAGGCAGCAGUGGGGAAUAUUGCACAAUGGGCGCAAGCCUGAUGCAGCGACGCCGCGUGAGGGAUGACGGCCUUCGGGUUGUAAACCUCUUUCAGCACCGACGAAGCGCAAGUGACGGUAGGUGCAGAAGAAGGACCGGCCAACUACGUGCCAGCCGCCGCCGUAA
rnacentral:rRNA from 1 species